UGUAAGUGGUGGAGUUGUGUGGUGAUUUUGUUGUUCCGUUGGUGUGGGAGUGGGCGCGUGUGUUGUUUUCGGGUCCUUCCUUGUGCACGCGGUGGCGUUUUUGGAGUGUGGUUUUCGUGGGUGGUGAGGGAGAGUUGUGUUUGUCCGUGCGCAUGUUGUGGAGUAUGUAGGUGGUGGGUGCGUGCCGUGUUGGUCAGUCCUCGCAUGUGUCUGAGCUGACCGGGAUGUUGUUUGGCAUGUGGGCGUGUUGCCAUGGGUCUUCCAUUGUGCUUGUGCAAGUGUCCUUUACGUAGUAGAAUUGUAAGAGCGUGUGAUGAUGGUUUUCUAAAAGGUCUUUCAGACUCUUGUUUGGUUCCCCCCCCUCAUUUUUCCGUCCCUCUGUCCCUUCAUCUCUGCCUGUGUUUCGAAGAUGUUCCGUGCGAGAAGGUUGAGGGAAGGGCGAUGUCCCCGCUGGCUGUUGGGUGUGAUGGAAGAGUCCAGGUUUUUCCAUGACAGUGGAUUUUCUGUAUCGUUUGACAGAGAGGAACGGAGAGGGAGAGGCCCGGGAUGCAGAGGUGGAACCAUGGAUCCUCUGCUUUCUUCACAGCUUGAAGUGGCGAUGGCUGUGCCUACCUGAGAGGUGCGUGUGCCUUUCCUGGUGGCCAUGUCCAGACGACCGAGGUUGUUGUGAUGGAGGGACCGGUGCCUUGUUUUGGAGGGGCCCGUGCUCCUGCCGUCACCUGGCUAGCCUGGAGUGAUGUUUUGUGCUUGUGAUGCCCCAGUGUCCCCUCAUGGUGUGGCUUCCUUGAGAACGAAGCUAUGACAGUGUGUGCUCUGUAUCGUCUAUCUGUGUAGCUUGUGCU